UGCGUAGGUGGGCAGGUAAGUCAGUGGUGAAAUCUCUGGGCUUAACCCGGAAACUGCCAUUGAUACUAUCUGUCUUGAAUACCGUGGAGGUUAGCGGAAUAUGUCAUGUAGCGGUGAAAUGCUUAGAUAUGACAUAGAACACCAAUUGCGAAGGCAGCUGGCUACACGAAUAUUGACACUGAUGCACGAAAGCUGGGGAUCAAACA
rnacentral:rRNA from 1 species